UACGAAGGGGGCUAGCGUUGUUCGGAUUUACUGGGCGUAAAGCGCACGUAGGCGGAUCGUUAAGUCGGGGGUGAAAUCCUGGAGCUCAACUCCAGAACUGCCUUCGAUACUGGCGAUCUUGAGUCCGGAAGAGGUGAGUGGAACUCCUAGUGUAGAGGUGAAAUUCGUAGAUAUUCGCAAGAACACCAGUGGCGAAGGCGGCUCACUGGCCCGGUACUGACGCUGAGGUGCGAAAGCGUGGGGAGCAAACAGG
rnacentral:rRNA from 1 species